rnacentral:misc_RNA from 1 species
UGUAAGUCUCAGCACACCCGUGAGGACGCCCUUAUUCCUACACCAGUUUAAGGAGCCGGUAUCAGGCACCAAAUUUGCCCAUUACACCUAGUCUCGCCACACCCCCAAGGGCCACAGCAGUAAUAAACAUUGUUUAUAAGCGAUAGCUUGAUUCAGUUAUAGAAAAUAGAGCUGGCUAACUCGGUGCCAGCCGCCGCGGCUAAACCGCAUGAGCUCAAGUUGAUAAUUAUCGGCGUUAAGCGUGAUUAAAAAUAUGCUUAAUUAGAGUAAAAUUAGUACUUAGCCGUGACAAGCUUGUAUUUAAGAAAAACAAAAACGAAAGUUACCCUAAUAUACUUGAACCCACGACAGUUGAGAAACAAACUGGGAUUAGAUACCCCACUAUGCCCAACCGUAAAAUAUAAACUUACAUAUUCAACGCCUGGGGAUUACGAGCCUAGCUUAAAACCCAAAGGACUUGACGGUGUCCCACCCAACUAGAGGAGCCUGUUCUAUAAUCGAUAAUCCCCGAUUUACCCGACCCAAUUUUGCCACUCAGUCUGUAUACCUCCGUCGUAAACUUACCAUAUGAAUGCUUACAGUAAGUUCAAUGAUCUUCACAUCAAUACGUCAGGUCAAGGUGCAGCUUAUAGUAGGGAAAGAAAUGGGCUACAAUUUCUAAAUUAGAACAUACGAAAUGCUACAUGAAACACAACCACGAAGGCGGAUUUAGUAGUAAAAGGGGAAUAAUGUGCCCCUUUUAACAAGGCCCUGGGACAUGUACACACCGCCCGUCACCCUCUU